AGAGGCCGCUUUUGCGGCUCCUCAGGACGAACUGAUCGAGCUAAGGACUGGAUUGCUAAUCUUUCUUAUACGAAACUGCCG
rnacentral:ncRNA from 1 species